rnacentral:rRNA from 1 species
CCAGACUCCUACGGGAGGCAGCAGUGGGGAAUCUUCCGCAAUGGGCGCAAGCCUGACGGAGCAACGCCGCGUGAGUGAAGAAGGUCUUCGGAUCGUAAAGCUCUGUUGAUGGGGACGAACGUGCCUAAUGCGAAUAGUUUUAGGCAAUGACGGUACCCAUCGAGGAAGCCACGGCUAACUACGUGCCAGCAGCCGCGGUAAUACGUAGGUGGCGAGCGUUGUCCGGAAUCAUUGGGCGUAAAGGGAGCGCAGGCGGGCAUGUAAGUCUUACUUAAAAGUGCGGGGCUCAACCCCGUGAUGGGAGAGAAACUAUCGGUCUUGAGUACAGGAGAGGAAAGCGGAAUUCCCAGUGUAGCGGUGAAAUGCGUAGAUAUUGGGAGGAACACCAGUGGCGAAGGCGGCUUUCUGGACUGCAACUGACGCUGAGGCUCGAAAGCCAGGGGAGCGAACGGGAUUAGAUACCCCGGUAGUCCUGGCCGUAAACGAUGGAUACUAGGUGUGGGAGGUAUCGACCCCUACCGUGCCGGAGUUAACGCAAUAAGUAUCCCGCCUGGGGAGUACGGCCGCAAGGCUGAAACUCAAAGGAAUUGACGGGGGCCCGCACAAG